rnacentral:rRNA from 1 species
UACAGAGGGUGCAAGCGUUGUUCGGAAUCAUUGGGCGUAAAGCGCGUGUAGGCGGCCCGGUAAGUCCGCUGUGAAAGUCGGGGGCUCAACCCUCGGAAGCCGGUGGAUACUGUCGGGCUCGAGUACGGAAGAGGCGAGUGGAAUUCCUGGUGUAGCGGUGAAAUGCGCAGAUAUCAGGAGGAACACCAAUUGCGAAGGCAGCUCGCUGGGACGUAACUGACGCUGAGACGCGAAAGCGUGGGGAGCAAACAGG